AACUUAAACAAGCUCUCUUUUGCUUGUUUUAUAGAUCAAAUCCGGAGUAUUGAGCAUAUGCCAUGUUAGGGCAUCCCAAAGAGGGGUUUUGCUCAUAUGGGGUUUUGAUCUAUUUUGACCAUGUAGAAACCUAAUUGGGGACCUAACGAACGCAUUGGUGCGCUCGGUUCGGCAAUCCGACGAGCGUACGCGAAGUUAUUGACGAAACGGUCGGUUUUGGUACAGAUAGCCGCAGCACGCGGAAUAAAGGUCUAAAAAUCAUGAGAUCGGAACUGGAGCACCUUGGAGUCAAGGAAUAAACGUCGAAAAAGACGGAUCGCGGUUCGGAAAUCGUUUGGAAGUCGCGCAAGAGCUUGGGCCUAACCGGGCAACGGUCGCCGCGGGAGGCCGAUUGCAAGUGACGACGAGCAAUCGGAACGCUGUAAAAGGUGGGGGAGUGCCAUCCCGAAGCAAUCGGGCUUCUUCCUAUGUCUUAGUACUUAUCCAUUCACAUGUAGCAUAUUGUAUAUCGAUACCUUGCAUUAUAGGAUGACAAUACAUGCAUUCCUAAUCCUUAUAUGAUGUUUAUGAUCAAUAUGGUAUUAUGAUAUGGAUAUAUGAUGUAAUGGACAUAAGGAUUAUGAGAUGACAUUGGUAAACCUAUGAUGCUAAAUGAGAGAAGAACCUAGUGUUGUGUUUAAAGACAUAGUUUACAAGUGGCAUUGAACUUAUUGUGCUAGAAACACAUAAGACUUGAACUUAGUAAUGGAUUGGUUGUUGUACUAGAAACUGAUCAAGUUGCAUAUUGGGAUAUUGCAUUAUAGAGUACUAGUUGACAAUUGUUACAUGUCAUGGCAUGCUAGUGGGAGUGUAGUGUUACUUCAUUAAUACUUGUAUCUAGUAUGCAUGAGAUUGGGACUUAGUGUGGUGAAACCCUAUAAGGGCAUGAUUAAUGUGAAUUAAACUUUAGUUGAGUGCAUUAAUCGAUCAAGUUGCAUAUUGUAUUUAUUGCAUUUAGAUGCUAGAUGAUUAUGGUCAUUACUCAUAUUUGCAUGCUAGUAGCAAUACAUCUUGAUGAUUGUCCCAUGAUCUAGUAUGCAUGAUGAUUAUAUAAUGAAAACCCUACAAUAAAGACCUAGACCCUAUAUGAGAUGUUUAAUGCUUAUGUUGCUAAAGAACUAGUAUGAUGUAACUAGUGUUGAUGCUGAGUCUAAAGGACGAGUGGCAUCUAGUUAGAAAAUUAUGAUGAGUGGCAUAUGAUUGUUGAUAACCUUGACAUGAGAACCUUAGUGUAGUUGAAACACUAUGAGAUUCGGUACAAGAACACCUUGAUUUUAUGAUGAGAUUACCCUCAGAGGGUAGGUUGCUGUUGCUCGUGAGAUGAUCACGCUCGCAUUGCCUGUCUGCGCUUGGUGGGGUCGCUCCCCUCAAGUUGUGCGCUCCGGAGAUUGGUCACUAGAGAGGCAGCCCUGCUUGCUGCUCGGAUAGCCGCUUGUUAUCCGCAGGCGUACUCGGGGAUAGUCCAGCUGGGCAUCCCUAGGAGAUUGAUAUGUGAGCCUUGCUUGUGGACCUUGUGUUCACCUUGAGAUUUGGUUACCUAUUGAGUCAUACUCAUUAUUGUUGUUCAUGAUGGCUUGCUUCCGUUCACCAUGAGAUUUGGUUACCUAUUGAGUCAUACUCACUAUUGUUGUUCAUGAUAGCUUGCUUCCAUAGUUGUUGUUGUGGUUUAUAGUAGCUUACUAGUGUUCAUAUUAGCUUACUUAUUGCUCAUGCAUUCAUGAUAUACUAUUCCUUCACCUAUGAGAUUUGAGUGGAGUAGCUCGGUACCUAGUAGGUUGAGAUGUGAGUCGGGCACAGUGCGGGGUAGCCUUUGCCUAGGCCUUUAAGAUGUGAGCCAGUUCUUUGAGAUGUGAGUCGGGCAAAGUGCGGGGUAGCCUUUGCCUAGGACCUUGAGAUGUGAGUCGGGCGAGGGGCGGGGUAGCUCUUUGCCUGGGACUCACGAGAUUGAGUCAGACCUUUGAGAUAUGAGUCGAGUGAGACAAGAGUGAGGUAGCUCUUCACCUACUAGAUUUGAGAUCUUAGGCAAGUUAGCCUAGCGGAUUGGGUAAUAACAUGAAUAGCAUAAGAGUAUUGCAUUCAUACCUUGAUUAGACAUAGUGCAUUGCAUAACUAUGUUGUUGUUGUAUUUAUUUCACUGUUGAGGCAUAUUAGCAUGAUAGUAGAUUGUUGCUAGAUGAUGUUCCAUGCAUACUUUGCAUUUGAUGGCAUAGUAGAUAUAGUAGUAGUAUUUCCAUAUAUCUUUCUAUCUAUCUAUCUGUGCCAGCUUGGACCUAGUGGGAAGAUCGGCGGAGUCGGCGGCCGAACCCACUGGGAACUAUAUUUAUAUAGUUCUCACCCCGUGUGGUUUUGGGGUACAGGUACACACGAGAGCGGAUCGGCAGAGGAUCGCGUUAUGGGCUUAGCGCCCUAGUGCUAGUUGAUAGUUUACUUUCCUAUUUUGCAUUAGAGUUACCCUAUACAUGUAUUGAGAGUAGAUGAUGUAUAGGAUGUGAGGUAUUUUGAGAUAAAUGUAAACUAAUGUUUAUCUUUUGAAGAAUGUAAGCUUAUAUUCAUAGUUUGGAAAAGAAUGCAAGUUGUAAUUAAAUGUAUCGAGCUGAAUGGUUGUAAUAGAAUAGUUAAGUAUCUCUCUUUUGUUUCACUUGUAUGUCUUCUACUUGUGACGCUUGCUCUUGUAAUGUUCAGCACUGUUUGUGCUUUAGUCGUUGUUGUAUGAUUGUGUAUGUAUUCAAGUGUUUUCCUGGGAACUUGUUGUACACAAUCACGUCAUUUGAGCCUUGGGCGGACAGGGGAGACUCUGUCCUUUCGGCGGUCCGCCCGCCGCGCCCGAACCGUGCCAAAUCGGUAGCGGCCUCGGGGCGUGGGGCGCGACAUGUUAUGGGCGGAGCAAGGCAAUGUUCACGUCCGCGAGGAACGAGAAGCGUCUGAGAGGGACGGUGGAAAGAAACGGGCUCAAGGUGGUUCGAGAGCUCAAUCAAAGUCGAGGAAGCCCCCGAAGUACCUGCGGACUUAGUCCAAGAGCCGUGGACCUCAACGGUACACUAUCUAUGGUGGAAACCAUAAGCCAAGGACUUGUGGACAACGGGAGGGGAAGUGCUUCAUCUGCGGCCAGGCGGGACAUAUUAGCCGCUACUGUCUGGUGAGGGCUUCGCCCGCCCCGUCGAUCGCGUCGGCUCCAGCGAUGCCAGCUCAUUAUGGAGGCGUUCCACCUACUGCUGCAUCGGCCGGACGUGCAAUGACGCCACGUCAGCCCGAGAUGACUCGAUCGGCUCCGAGCGGACGGGUAUUCGCCGCUCAAGCCCAAACCGAGGAACC
rnacentral:lncRNA from 1 species